rnacentral:rRNA from 1 species
GACGAACCGUGCGAACGUUAUUCGGAAUCACUGGGCUUAAAGGGUGCGUAGGCGGGCUCCCAAGUCAGGGGUGAAAUCCCACGGCUCAACCGUGGAAGUGCCUCUGAUACUGGGGGCCUCGAGGGGUGCAGGGGCGUGCGGAACUCAGGGUGGAGCGGUGAAAUGCGUAGAUAUCCUGAGGAACACCGGUGGCGAAAGCGGCGCGCUAGACACCUUCUGACGCUGAGGCACGAAAGCCAGGGGAGCAAACAGG